rnacentral:rRNA from 1 species
AUUGAACGCUGGCGGCAUGCCUUACACAUGCAAGUCGAACGGUAACAGGUCUUCGGAUGCUGACGAGUGGCGAACGGGUGAGUAAUACAUCGGAACGUGCCUAGUAGUGGGGGAUAACUACUCGAAAGAGUGGCUAAUACCGCAUGAGAUCUACGGAUGAAAGCAGGGGAUCGCAAGACCUUGUGCUACUAGAGCGGCCGAUGGCAGAUUAGGUAGUUGGUGGGAUAAAAGCUUACCAAGCCGACGAUCUGUAGCUGGUCUGAGAGGACGAUCAGCCACACUGGAACGGAGACACGGCCCAGACUCCGACGGGAGGCAUCAGUGGGGAAUUUUGGACAAUGGGCGAAAGCCUGAUCCAGCAAUGCCGCGUGCAGGAUGAAGGCCUUCGGGUUGUAAACGGCUUUUGUACGGAACGAAAAGCCCCGGGUUAAUACCCUGGGGUCAUGACGGUACCGUAAGAAUAAGCACCGGCUAACUACGUGCCAGCCGCCGCCGUAA